UGACCUCAAAUCAGGU
rnacentral:rRNA from 7 species